GAUGAACGCUGGCGGCGUGCCUAAUACAUGCAAGUCGAGCGAACAGACGAGGAGCUUGCUCCUCUGACGUUUGCGGCGGACGGGUGAGUAACACGUCGAUAACCUACCUAUAAGACUGGGAUAACUUCGGGAAACCGGAGCUAAUACCGGAUAAUAUAUUGAACCGCAUGGUUCAAUAGUGAAAGACGGUUUUGCUGUCACUUAUAGAUGGAUCCGCGCCGCAUUAGCUAGUUGGUAAGGUAACGGCUUACCAAGGCAACGAUGCGUAGCCGACCUGAGAGGAUGAUCAGCCACACUGGAACUGAGACGAGGACCAGACCACUACGGGAGGCAGCAGUAGGGAAUCUUCCGCAAAGGGCGAAAGCCUGACGGAGCAACGCCGCGUGAGUGAUGAAGGUCUUCGGAUCCUAAAACUCUGUUAUUAGGGAAGAACAAAUGUGUAAGUAACUAGGCACGUCUUGACGGUACCUACUCAGAAAGCCACGGCUAACUACGUG
rnacentral:rRNA from 1 species